rnacentral:rRNA from 1 species
GAUGAACGCUGGCGGCGUGCUUAACACAUGCAAGUCGAACGGAAAGGCCCAAGCUUGCUUGGGUACUCGAGUGGCGAACGGGUGAGUAACACGUGGGUGAUCUGCCCUGCACUUCGGGAUAAGCCUGGGAAACUGGGUCUAAUACCGGAUAGGACGAUGGUUUGGAUGCCAUUGUGGAAAGUUUUUUCGGUGUGGGAUGAGCUCGCGGCCUAUCAGCUUGUUGGUGGGGUAAUGGCCUACCAAGGCGUCGACGGGUAGCCGGCCUGAGAGGGUGUACGGCCACAUUGGGACUGAGAUACGGCCCAGACUCCUACGGGAGGCAGCAGUGGGGAAUAUUGCACAAUGGGCGCAAGCCUGAUGCAGCGACGCCGCGUGGGGGAUGACGGCCUUCGGGUUGUAAACUCCUUUCGCUAGGGACGAAGCGUUUUCGUGACGGUACCUGGAGAAGAAGCACCGGCUAACUACGUG